UACGACUACAUAUCAGGCAUAUCAAUAAGCGGAGGAAAAGAAACUAACUAGGAUUCCCUCAGUAACGGCGAGUGAAGCGGGAAGAGCUCAAAUUUGAAAUCUUCAAGGUUUUACCUUGACGAAUUGUAGUUUAAAGAAGUGUUUUCUGUUGGUGUUUUGGUAAAAGUUCUUUGGAAUAGGACAUCAUGGAGGGUGAGAAUCCCGUAUUUGACCAUUACUUCCAGCGUUGUGAUACACUUUCAAAGAGUCGGAUUGUUUGGGAAUGCAGUCCAAAAUGGGUGGUAAAUUUCAUCUAAAGCUAAAUAUUGGCGAGAGACCGAUAGCGAACAAGUACCGUGAGGGAAAGAUGAAAAGAACUUUGAAAAGAGAGUUAAACAGUACGUGAAAUUGUCAAAAGGGAAGCGUUUGACACCAGUGUUGUUUUCUCGAAAAUCAAUUAAAAAGUAUGGGAUUUUGUAUUGUUAAGACCUCAUCAGCUUUACGGCUACUCUUUUCUUAUUCUUUUUAAUGCACUUUUCGUUUAACAAGUCAACAUCAAUUUCUUUUGUUGUAAAAGAGUCAUUGGAAGGUGGCUUUCACUUCGGUGAAAGUGUUUAUAGCCUUUGACUUCUGCAAUCGGAGAGAUUGAGGUCUGCAGCGUAGAUCCUUCGGGGUUAGAUACAGUUAGAUGCUAAGUUAUAGUUUUUCAUAGACAACAUGUUGACUAUGAUUAAUCAUGUAGUUUACUCGUUAUGCCUAUUUUACCUACGCUUAGGAUGUUGACGCGCGUGUGUGCGUG
rnacentral:rRNA from 1 species